UAGGUUGUUUCACACCACUCGCUUCUGAAGCUGUUGCUAUGCGGAGUUCUGGAAUUACACAUUCUUUUUCUUUUCUUUUAAUUACAAUAAUAAUUAUAACAAUAUAAUAACAGAAAAAAGAGGGACAAUCAUGGUUUAUCUCGCCGGUGCCGGAUACAACGCAGUCGUCGGAAUGAAUAAUCGGAGGCCAAAAUUCUUUACGUCAAUUAUACCGAACAGCAUAAUUUCAACGCUAUACGACGUCGCUUUUCUGUGUCGGUGUUGCAGAGAACAUGACUUCAGUAGCACUUCUGAAUCAGCUUGGACAGAUUUUCCCGUAGAGAACGCCUACGAGCUGUUAGGAGUGUCUGAGACCAGUUCCUUCACCGAAAUUAAAGCAUCGUUUCGAAAAUUGGCCAAAGAAACUCACCCAGACCUCGCUGGGUCAAGCAGUGAUUCCAGUGUGUCUCGACGAUUUGUGCAAAUUCUGGCUGCUUAUGAGAUUCUUUCAGAUUCUCAAAAGAGAGCCCAUUAUGACAUGUACCUGUUGUCUCAGAAAAAGCUUAUGCAAAAGCAUUCUGAACAGGGUUCAAAAUUGUAUAUUUACAAAUCACAAGCUACUACGUUAAAGGAGAUGGAAGUUGUUGAAUGGUUAAAAUGGUACAGAUUAACUAUAAAUAAUAUUUUGUCAGAAAAGAGGGUGGUAGAUGGAACAGGCUAUUUUGAUGUACUUGAGAGAGAUUUUUAUUCAGCUAUUCAUGCAGCAUACUAUGGUCCUGAAAUUGAUUCUAUGCCCAUGGAAUUUCUUCCUGACUGCUUUGAGGCAGAGGAGAGGUCUUCUUAUGAAACUCCUGAGGUUUUGCACUUAGUUUCAGGUCGUGAUCUUUUCGGAAUGGUUUGCCUAGCCAACAAGGUUCCAGAGAUAUCAACAAUUAGCAAUGAAAUGUUAGCAUCUUUUAGAUCCUUCCAUUCAGGCCCAUGUCAAUCUGUAACAAAUGUGAAUGACUACAGGAAAGCAGAAAGAUCAGAUGAUUUUGAAGCCUAUCAAGGUCUCGGCUCUGAAACUUCAAGUAUUGUAUCAGAUGCAUAUAGACAUCUUGAAUUGCACAUAUCAGGAAGAGUUGUUGCUACAGCAUCUAGGACCCUACCUAGAUGCUGUUCUGAUGUAAUGCAGACAGAAGAUACUGAAGAUCACAUUCAAGUGUUCCUUAACUUAUAUGAAGAUCCCAAACAUAUCAUGAGUGAUUUUUGGAAAGGCUACCUAGCAAAUGGUGCAGUUGGAAGAAGAAUUCAUUUGGGAACUAUAUCUGGACUUGGGAGCAGUCCGGAUGAAGGUUGUUGUUAUGUUUACAAUGACAAGGGCACAAAGACCCAUGCGAUUAUGAAGCAUAGAACAUUGAUGGUGAAGCAUAUGCACUGGUAUCAGGUGGGUGAGAAAGUUUCAGUUUGCGAGUGUAGAUGCACUAGAGCACAUUUACCACCAAGCAAAUUUUGGCUAUUUGAGCCUCGCUGUGGUUUCCAUGACAUAGGGGGUUGGUACGUUGAGACAUAUGGCAAAGAUAAGCACGGUCGUACAAAGCCAUCACAAAGAUUUUGGGAUGGCUUGGACUAUAACAUGCAAGCUGACAUAAGACUUCAUCCAGCAAUGUAUUUGUUUGCUCUUGCAUAUCGGACACUUGAUCUUGAAUACGCUAAAGCAAGCAAGAAAUCAUUUAGGAAUGUUGUUGGAGCACAAAUGUUUCGAGUUAUUCAUUGGUGCAAGAAACUUAUUCAAUAGGUAUGUAUCUUGACAAUGUUAACAAAUUGAUUGUGUCCUUGCUAGAACAAUUUUGAAUGAUCAGCAAUCACUUAAUAAUCUCUAUUUAGUGAUUUUGGAAGAAGAUAUUGCUGUCAAUUUAUAUUUACAAGAUUCUUGGAUGGAAUGCUCUGUAACUACUGAAAGGAAAACUCAUUACAAGCCUCAAGUAGUUCUAUGACUUGGGAUUGGCUGGAGUCACUUCAACUUUUUAUCAUGUCUGAGGCUCUUUGAAGCAACAUUGAUUUUGUCAAAAAUAUUCUCUUGCGCUACUUGUCUCAGAAAUGUUAUGCAAUCCGAAGGUUCACGGAUAUACUUCGUGCAUUUCUAUGCGUACAACACAAAUCUGCAGUUGCCUUUAUGCGUUGUUAGACAAAGAUUCUUUAUCUUGCUCAGUGUUAUGGAAGCUAGUUGUUUCACUGCACAAUGAGUUUCAUCCCCUUAUUGGAAAGGUCAUGAAGCCGGACGGUUUUCUGGAAUUUACUUCGACAUCAUAUCUCCUGGUAUAUAAAAUACAAUUUCUGCUUACAUAGAAUUGUCCCUAUAGGCAUGUGGAACUUACGUCUGUCUACUUGUAUAAGUGUAUAUAUUUUAAGAAAGUUUUUCUUCUUUAUAUUCCUGCCCUCUUAAAUUUGUUGUUCUUCUCUCUGGAUUUAUAUGCAAAAAAUGACUGCCAUGACAUGUAGUUUAUAUUGUCCUGUUAUUGUUAGGUUUGAUCGUACGUUUCUUCACUCUCUAUUUCCGGCUUUGGCUUUGCUUUGAAUGACUUAAACGGUUUUCUCUACUAAUAGAAUACGCCUUGGACCAUUGAGUCACCACAAUUGCAAACUGCUUUUACUAAAUGAAAUUGACUACAUAUGCUUUUCUUUAUCCUUUAUUUGACCAGAUCAUCCCAUUUGCAGUAUUGUCCUCCUGCUAAUGCUCGAUAAUACCUAUCCCUACAAUAGACAGGUCUUCCAUCAGCAGCCUCAGCAGCUGCUGCUGCUAGAUCAUCAUCAGUUAUCACCUCCACUGGCAAUUUAAGCAACUCCUCUUUUCUACAAUAUGCAUUAAAAAAUGCAAUCACAUUGUGGACAAACUCUGGAAGAUAGUAAAGGAUCUUUGUGUCUUCUCUUACCUCAGGUUGAGCUUUGUGUUAACCUUGGGAACGGUUUGUUUAAUUUCUUCCGUGGAAAAGGUAGUUCGAAGAAAAUUCUCCACCGGUGUAGCAAAUAUAAAUAGCAUAACUCCUGUGACAAGCAAUGCUCCUGUCCCAACUAGAGUUUGCUUCAGCAAUUUAACGACUGGUUUAACCUGGGAACAUGAAAUAUACGUCAAUUAUGCUGCAAGAAAUCGAAAUUAACAUACUGCUCUUCUAGUCUGUAUCCAAAAUUGUUCUGAAUUCAAGCAAUGCUGUGAUGUUCCGUAUCUUGUAAGAGCCCAACAAUCUAUCACGAGCUAGGAUCUGCAAAUAAACUCAGUUUUCAGAUUAUAUAGCCUGAAAUAAGUAUGUCACUGAGUAGUAGUAAUGUUUAAUAGCACAUUUCAGCUACGCUUUAUUCUAUAACCUUCGUAUUCACUAUUUCUGAACAAACCUUUUUCUGUUUAAUGCUUAAUCAGGAAGUGUCUCUUACAAUUUUGAGAGGCAAAUACAGUUGCUAACCUAUUAGUUAUUCGAAUUUACCAAUGUCCCCACUUUUUUUCUCUUAAAAGGCCAGUAGUUGAUAAAAUUUUAUCCUUGUUCCUACCUGACAAAUCCUGCUGUAAGUAAAAUCAUCAAUUUGUCGGUUUCAAUGUAUAUAGCGCACUGACUCUAUAGCCUUUGGUACUUUUGUUCCGUUCUUAGGUACAGUAAGAAUGUGUAAAAGAGGCUAACCUCGGGCGGCUUGACCCACAUCUGCCCGUCAUACCAUCCACUUUCUUCAUAAGGGAUGACCGCUGAUAGAAGUCUAUCACCAACAUAACUCCAACCC